ACUGUAAGGAAGGCAAAUGUUACAUGUUAAUAUUUCCAUAAAACCGGAGCUUAAGAAAAUCAAAGGCACUUUUUACUUGACUUGGAAUGAACAAAAUUAUUCUGAAGGCUUCUCAGAGCCUUAAGAUGAUUCAAACCUAUUGUUUCUGAUUUUCCAUUGUGGUGACUUCUACGGAGAUAACUAUCAUUUUAAUAGAACAAAACCAGAGCAAAGCUCAUGACAUUACAGGAGGAGCAGAGUUCUAUCAUGUAGAAGUUCAUUCACCCGAGCAUGCUUCCUUAUCAUCAUCUCAUCUUGUGCCGGUAUACAAGUAAGAUCAGCCAGCUGCUGAAAUCUCUAAGGAAUAUCUCUCCAUGGAGACAGAGCCAGACGGCCCAAGUCUCUUCUCUGUUCUUGAGUUCCUGUUUUCAAGUAAUGAUUUGGAUAAACUGGAGACCAGUUUCCUUUCCUCCAACUCUGGCAGCUGAAAUUAAUUCUCCAAAGACUCCUCUUUGGAGGCAAGCAGAUGAUAAAGUUUGGAAAACAGAAACUCAGAACAACUGAAGAGAGCCUCAGAAAUCUCAUCUUUUUGAUAGAACACUUCCCUUAGGGACUUUAACAAUUGCUAUGCAGAAUCAACAAAUAAAUAACUUUCAGUGGUGUUUUGUCUCUCUUGAUUUCAACCAUUCAAGUGAUGUGACUUCUACCACUUCCCUUGAGGGGUAAUUCCAUAUUCCAGCAGUUUUCACUGUCAGGAAGUUUCUCAUGCGCUCUACCCAAGUUGUCUUUUCUCUAACUUCCUUCCAUUUCUGAGUUACACCAAAUCUGAACACAUCACUAAAUGGCUUCUCAUUUCUAGUGAGGGCUUACACUUUUAAACAUUUGGCUGACUAGUGUUUUAUUUCUCACUUUCCCAAGAGUUAUAUAUUUACCUCCAACACACUUCUUUCUUCAGUCACUCUACUGUCU
rnacentral:lncRNA from 1 species